AGUUCUCUAAGGUCUUUUCUAGCUCGGGCGUGCUUUGCGUCUGAGUCAACCAUUUUGUGAUUUAAUGACUUCCAAAUGUCUGCUUAGGAGGGCUUGCUUUUGCACCAGUGGUUGGCACUGAGCACCACCCCACGCUGACCCAAGGACACCUGCUGGACCCCGACGACGGGACUCAGUGCCCUGCUCUUGCUGGAAGGCUGGCUCUUCAUUCGAAUCCAAUCCAAGAAGGUCCGAGGCUGAGAGACAAUGCAGGUUCAGACUCUGGUGGGAGAGGCAGGCCUGGGCAACAAGGUGCACUGCGUGGUCUUCUCCUCACUCCCCUUGGAGGUAGAAAAGUAAGCCCUAUCACUGUUAAUCCAUCAUCACUGGAAGUAGAAGGGUAAGUACUCUUAUUUCUUGACUUGGAUUAUUCUAGAAAUAUAGACUUAAAUAAGUGGCAGAAAUUUGCUUGGUUGAUUUCCCUGAUGUUUACUGCAAAUAUUACCAAAAUACAGAAGUUAUGACAAAGAAAAUAAUCACUGUUAAUAUUUUGUCAUUUGUCUUUGCAACUUUGGUCUAUACUUGGUGACACU
rnacentral:lncRNA from 1 species